rnacentral:rRNA from 1 species
UUUUAACGCCAAAAGUAGAAAAUAAAUACGUGAUCCCUUACCGAACUCAAAAGUAUUUCUAUCUUAACUAAAACUACUAUUUUUACGGGAUUUUUAGGAUUGUUAAAA